ACCAGAAGCUGAUGAAACACGUAACCUUUGAGUGCAUGACCUGUAAGGCAAACCCAGAUAAUGUCUUCACCUACCUGGCCGUGAAGGUACAAAGACACCAUUCCUCAAAUCUGGCUGCCUGGUCAACGCGAUGCCAUGAAUAGGAAACACAAGGAUACAGAAAAUAAAAAGACUUCGUAAUAAAUUAAGCAAAGAACUACAUGGAAUGAGAAGGAACUUCUGCUGCCUCACUGGACCAUUUGAAAUGUAAUACUGAAUACGUUUGCAAGUGAUCUUAACAUGGUGAGUUUACAUUAUUUGUUGGUGCAUUCUUUGCCUUUCCUAUAUCUAUGAUAAUGGGAUCCCUGUGGUAAUA